GACGAACGCUGGCGGCGUGCUUAACACAUGCAAGUCGAACGAUGAAGCUGGAGCUUGCUCUGGUGGAUUAGUGGCGAACGGGUGAGUAACACGUAAGUAACCUGCCCUGGACUCUGGGAUAACCCCGAGAAAUCGGAGCUAAUACCGGAUAGGACCUUGGAUCGCAUGAUCUGGGGUGGAAAGUUUUUCGGUCUGGGAUGGACUCGCGGCCUAUCAGCUUGUUGGUGAGGUAAUGGCUCACCAAGGCGUCGACGGGUAGCCGGCCUGAGAGGGUGACCGGCCACACUGGGACUGAGACACGGCCCAGACGCCUACGGGAGGCAGCAGUGGGGAAUAUUGCACAAUGGGCGCAAGCCUGAUGCAGCAACGCCGCGUGCGGGAUGACGGCCUUCGGGUUGUAAACCGCUUUUAGUAAGGAAGAAGCCUUCGGGUGACGGUACCUGCAGAAAAAGGACCGGCUAACUACGUGCCAGCCGCCGCAGUAACAC
rnacentral:rRNA from 1 species